GAUGAACGCUGGCGGCGUGCCUAAUACAUGCAAGUCGAGCGAACAGAUGAGGAGCUUGCUCCUCUGACGUUAUCGGCGGACGGGUGAGUCACACGUGGAUAACCUACCUAUCAGACUGGGAUAACUUCGGGAAACCGGAGCUAAUACCGGAUAAUAUAUUGACCCUCAUGGUUCAAUAGUGAAAGACGGUUUUGCUGUCACUUAUAGAUGGAUCCGCGCCUCAUUAGCUAGUUGGUAAGGUAACGGCUUACCAAGGCAACGAUGGGUAGCCGACCUGAGAGGGAGAAUCGACAGCCGGGAAGUGAGGAAGGGCACCCACACCGAAGGGGAGAAACAGGAGGGAAUCCUACGGGAGGGGGGAAAGGCGGAUGGAGGAAAACCGGGGGAAGGAUGAAAGGGCUAGGACUCGUAAAAGAUGAUAGUAGGGGAGAAAAAAAGGGGUAAUAACCAGGAAGGUAAUGACGGUACCGUAAGAAAAAGCCCAGGCUAACUACGUG
rnacentral:rRNA from 1 species